rnacentral:rRNA from 1 species
GACGAACCGUGCGAACGUUAUUCGGAAUCACUGGGCUUAAAGGGCGCGUAGGCGGGCGCGAAAGUCAGGGGUGAAAGCCCACGGCUCAACCGUGGAAGUGCCUCUGAUACUUCGGGCCUCGAGGGAGGUAGGGGCGUGCGGAACUUCCGGUGGAGCGGUGAAAUGCGUAGAUAUCGGAAGGAACGCCGGUGGCGAAAGCGACGUGCUGGACCUCUUCUGACGCUGAGGCGCGAAAGCCAGGGGAGCAAACGGG